AACGAACGCUGGCGGCAGGCCUAACACAUGCAAGUCGAGCGAGGUAGCAAUACCUAGUGGCGCACGGGUGCGUAACGCGUGGGAAUCUGCCCUUGGGUUCGGAAUAACAGUUAGAAAUGACUGCUAAUACCGGAUAAUGUCUUCGGACCAAAGAUUUAUCGCCCAGGGAUGAGCCCGCGUAGGAUUAGCUAGUUGGUGAGGUAAAGGCUCACCAAGGCGACGAUCCUUAGCUGGUCUGAGAGGAUGAUCAGCCACACUGGGACUGAGACACGGCCCAGACUCCUACGGGAGGCAGCAGUGGGGAAUAUUGGACAAUGGGCGAAAGCCUGAUCCAGCAAUGCCGCGUGAGUGAUGAAGGCCUUAGGGUGUAAAGCUCUUUUACCCGGGAUGAUAAUGACAGUACCGGGAGAAUAAGCCCCGGCUAACUCCGUGCCAGCAGCCGCGGUAAU
rnacentral:rRNA from 1 species